AAUGGGACCCUAGUGGCGGACGGGUGAGUAACGCGUGGGUAACCUGCCCCAUACCGGGGGAUAACACUUAGAAAUAGGUGCUAAUACCGCAUAAGCGCACGGUACUGCAUGGUACAGUGUGAAAAACUCCGGUGGUAUGGGAUGGACCCGCGUCUGAUUAGCUUGUUGGCGGGGUAACGGCCCACCAAGGCGACGAUCAGUAGCCGGCCUGAGAGGGUGGACGGCCACAUUGGGACUAAGACACGGCCCAAACUCCUACGGAAGGCAGCAG
rnacentral:rRNA from 1 species